CCCUUAGACGUUCUGGGCCGCACGCGCGCUACACUGACGAAUGCAACGAGCUUAUAACCUUGGCCGAAAGGUCUGGGUAAUCUCCAAAUUUCGUCGUGAUGGGGAUAGAUUAUUGCAAUUAUUAAUCUUCAACGAGGAAUGCCUAGUAAGCGCAAGUCAUCAGCUUGCGUUGAUUACGUCCCUGCCCUUUGUACACACCGCCCGUCGCUCCUACCGAUUGAAUGGUCCGGUGAAGCGCUCGGACCGCGGCCUCUUGACGGGUCUCCGUCGAUUGGCUGUGGGAAGUUCGUUAAACCUUAUCAUUUAGAGGAAGGAGAAGUCGUAACA
rnacentral:rRNA from 1 species